rnacentral:rRNA from 1 species
UACGUAGGGGGCAAGCGUUGUCCGGAUUUAUUGGGCGUAAAGAGCGUGUAGGCGGUCAGGUAGGUCCGUUGUGAAAACUCGAGGCUCAACCUCGAGACGCCGAUGGAAACCAUCUGACUAGAGUCCGGAAGAGGAGAGUGGAAUUCCUGGUGUAGCGGUGAAAUGCGCAGAUAUCAGGAAGAACACCCGUGGCUAAGGCGGCUCUCUAGGACGGUACUGACGCCGAGACGCGAAAGCGUGGGGAGCGAACAGG